CAGCAGUUUCCAAGUUGUGGCUGCCAAGAUAUGGAAGGUAAGGAGCAUUGCAGUGAAAAUGCAGGAAGAGAUAAUCAGCACCAUGUUAUUUCCAGUGGAUGCUCGAAGAAUUGUGGUGCCACCAGCCCCGAUUGGAUUUGCUGGAAAUGCAUUGGUUCCUGGAUUUGCACGAUUAAAAGUGAAGGAAUUGAAGGAUAGAGAAG
rnacentral:misc_RNA from 1 species